CUUGGUCAUUUAGAGGAAGUAAAAGUCGUAACAAGGUCUCCGUUGGUGAACCAGCGGAGGGAUCAUUACAGAGUUGCAAAACUCCCUAAACCAUUGUGAACGUUACCUAAACCGUUGCUUCGGCGGGCGGCGCCGGGGUUUACCCCCCGGGCGCCCCUGGGCCCCACCGCGGGCGCCCGCCGGAGGUCACCAAACUCUUGAUAAUUUAUGGCCUCUCUGAGUCUUCUGUACUGAAUAAGUCAAAACUUUCAACAACGGAUCUCUUGGUUCUGGCAUCGAUGAAGAACGCAGCGAAAUGCGAUAAGUAAUGUGAAUUGCAGAAUUCAGUGAAUCAUCGAAUCUUUGAACGCACAUUGCGCCCGCCAGUAUUCUGGCGGGCAUGCCUGUUCGAGCGUCAUUUCAACCAUCAAGCCCCGGGCUUGUGUUGGGGACCUGCGGCUGCCGCAGGCCCUGAAAAGCAGUGGCGGGCUCGCUGUCACACCGAGCGUAGUAGCAUACAUCUCGCUCUGGGCGUGCUGCGGGUUCCGGCCGUUAAACCACCUUUUAACCCAAGGUUGACCUCGGAUCAGGUAGGAAGACCCGCUGAACUUAAGCAUAUCAAUAAGCGGAGGA
rnacentral:rRNA from 1 species